rnacentral:rRNA from 1 species
AGAGUUUGAUCCUGGCUCAGGAUGAACGCUGGCGGCGUGCUUAACACAUGCAAGUCGAACGGUGAAGCCAAGCUUGCUUGGUGGAUCAGUGGCGAACGGGUGAGUAACACGUGAGCAACCUGCCCUGGACUCUGGGAUAAGCGCUGGAAACGGCGUCUAAUACUGGAUAUGAGCCUCUUCCGCAUGGUGGGGGUUGGAAAGAUUUUUUGGUUCUGGGAUGGGCUCGCGGCCUAUCAGCUUGUUGGUGAGGUAAUGGCUCACCAAGGCGUCGACGGGUAGCCGGCCUGAGAGGGUGACCGGCCACACUGGGACUGAGACACGGCCCAGACUCCUACGGGAGGCAGCAGUGGGGAAUAUUGCACAAUGGGCGAAAGCCUGAUGCAGCAACGCCGCGUGAGGGAUGACGGCCUUCGGGUUGUAAACCUCUUUUAGCAGGGAAGAAGCGAAAGUGACGGUACCUGCAGAAAAAGCGCCGGCUANAAACGUGUCAAA